rnacentral:rRNA from 1 species
CGCGUAGGCGGUUUGCUAAGUUGGAUGUGAAAACUCUGGGCUUAACCCAGAGCCUGCAUCCAAAACUGGCAAACUUGAGUACUGGAGGGGAAAGCGGAAUUCCUGGUGUAGCGGUGAAAUGCGUAGAUAUCAGGAGGAACACCGGUGGCGAAGGCGGCUUUCUGGACAGUAACUGACGCUGAGGCGCGAAAGCUAGGGGAGCAAACA